UAGUUAAUAGCUGCAUUAUUUGACGUUAGCGAUAGAAGAAGCACCGGCUAACUCCGUGCCAGCAGCCGCGGUAAUACGGAGGGUGCGAGCGUUAAUCGGAAUUACUGGGCGUAAAGCGCAUGCAGGUGGUUUGUUAAGUCAGAUGUGAAAGCCCGGGGCUCAACCUCGGAAUAGCAUUUGAAACUGGCAGACUAGAGUACUGUAGAGGGGGGUAGAAUUUCAGGUGUAGCGGUGAAAUGCGUAGAGAUCUGAAGGAAUACCGGUGGCGAAGGCGGCCCCCUGGACAGAUACUGACACUCAGAUGCGAAAGCGUGGGGAGCAAACAGGAUUAGAUACCCUGGUAGUCCACGCCGUAAACGAUGUCUACUUGGAGGUUGUGGCCUUGAGCCGUGGCUUUCGGAGCUAACGCGUUAAGUAGACCGCCUGGGGAGUACGGUCGCAAGAUUAAAACUCAAAUGAAUUGACGGGGGCCCGCACAAGCGGUGGAGCAUGUGGUUUAAUUCGAUGCAACGCGAAGAACCUUACCUACUCUUGACAUCCAGAGAACUUUCCAGAGAUGGAUUGGUGCCUUCGGGAACUCUGAGACAGGUGCUGCAUGGCUGUCGUCAGCUCGUGUUGUGAAAUGUUGGGUUAAGUCCCGCAACGAGCGCAACCCUUAUCCUUGUUUGCCAGCGAGUAAUGUCGGGAACUCCAGGGAGACUG
rnacentral:rRNA from 1 species